rnacentral:rRNA from 1 species
UGCAAGUCGAACGGAGCACCCUUGAAAGAGACUUCGGUUGAUUGAUAGGAAUGCUUAGUGGCGGACUGGUGCGUAACACGUGAGUAACCUGCCCCGAAGAGUGGAAUAACACAGCGAAAGUUGUGCUAAUACCGCAUAACAUGGUUGUACCGCAUGGUGCUGACCAUCAAAGAUUUAUCGCUUUGGGAUGGACUCGCGUCCGAUUAGCUAGUUGGUGAGAUAACGGCUCACCAAGGCGACGAUCGGUAGCCGGACUGAGAGGUUGACCGGCCACAUUGGGACUGAGAUACGGCCCAGACUCCUACGGGAGGCAGCAGUGGGGAAUAUUGGGCAAUGGGCGCAAGCCUGACCCAGCAACGCCGCGUGAAGGAAGAAGGUCUUCGGAUUGUAAACUUUAAUCGUCGGGGACGAGAACGGACGGUACCCGAGGUGAAGCCACGUCUAACUACGUGCCAGCAGACGCGGUAAUACGUAGGUGGCAAGCGUUGUCCGGAUUUACUGGGUGUAAAGGGCGUGUAGGCGGAUUUGAAAGUCAGGCGUGAAAUGCCGCAGCUUAACUGCGGAGCUGCGCUUGAAACUUCAGACCUUGAGUACCGGAGAGGAAAGCGGAAUUCCUAGUGUAGCGGUGAAAUGCGUAGAUAUUAGGAGGAACACCAGUGGCGAAGGCGGCUUUCUGGACGGCAACUGACGCUGAGGCGCGAAAGUGUGGGGAGCAAACAGGAUUAGAUACCCUGGUAGUCCACACUGUAAACGAUGGAUACUAGGUGUGGGAGGUUUCGACGCCUUCC